rnacentral:rRNA from 1 species
AAAAUUAAAGGUCUAAUCUGCCCAAUGAUAAUUGAAUGGCCGCGGUAACUUGACCGUGCAAAGGUAGCAUAAUUAUUAGUCUUUUAAUUGAAGGCUUGAAUGAAAGAUUGGAUGAAAAAUAAACUUUAUUAACAAAAAUUAUUUAAUUUAUUAUUUAAGUAAAAAUUCUUAAAUAUACAAGUGGGACGAGAAGACCCUAUAGAGUUUUAUUUUUAUUUUUAUUAUUAAGUUUAAGAAUUAAUAUUUUUAUAAUAAAAAUAAAUUUUUUAUUGGGGUGAUAUUAAAAAUUAUUGAACUUUUAAUUAAUAUUUCAUUAAUAUAUGUAUAAUUGAUCCAAAUAAAUUUUUGAUUAUAAGACUUAAUUACCUUAGGGAUAA